AUGGGAUCUGGUAGGAGGUUGUGUUGGAGCCAACUUUUCUUGUUGGCUUUCCUAGUCUUUUCCGUUCUGGUUACUCUGGCUGUUGGAUCUCCAUUGGAAGUAAUGUCUGCUCCCAACCUACUGAGAGUAGGAACAACAGAAAAUGUUUUUGUAGAAAUUCAAGAUUGUGCCCAUGAACAUGAGGUAAAGGUUGAUAUCACUGUGAUGAACUUUCCAACCAAAACCAGAAGAUUGGCAUCUACAUCUGUGACUCUUACUGAGGCAAAGAAUUUCCAGGAUUUUGGAAGAAUUAUGAUCCCUACUACCGACUUCAGUAAAGAUCCCAACAUAAAGCAGUAUGUUUAUCUUCAAGCAGAGUUCCCUGACCGACUCCUGGAGAAAAUUGUGUUACUGUCGUUCCAGACUGGCUAUAUUUUUAUCCAGACGGACAAAAACAUCUAUACUCCUAAUAGUAUGGUCCACUACCAAAUCUUUGCAGUGAGGCCUAACAUGGAGCCUGUGGAAAGUGGUAAUGACAGCCAAACUGAUGAUAGACUGGAUAUUGAAAUUGUGACCGCUGAUGGCUUCACCGUACACUCUGAAACUGUCAAACUGACUUCAGGAAUCUUUUCUGGAAGUUACUUCCUCUCUAAUAUGGCCAUUACUGGACAGUGGGAGUUGAUGGGAAAUUUCCACAUCAGCCCACAGCAGAAAUUUUCUGAAAGGUUUUCAGUGAAAGAAUAUGUUCUUUCCAGUUUUGAUGUGAAAUUGACCCCUGUGAGCUCCUUCUUCUAUGUGGACAGCAAAGCAUUCAUAGUCAACAUCACAGCUACGUAUAUUUUUGAUAAAUCUGUGGAUGGAACAGCCUAUGUAGUAUUUGGUGUUAUGCAUGAGGGUAAAAAAAAUAGGUUUCCGAGUUCUCUUCAGACAGUCCCUAUCAAGCAAGGAAAUGGAGCUGUUACAUUGAAAAGGGAGCACAUCACACAGACCUUUCCAAACAUCUUCACGCUGGUGGGGAGCUCUAUAUUUCUGUUUGUCAAUGUGCUAACAGAGAAUGGUGGUGAAAUGAUGGAGGCAGAGUUAAAACACAUCAAGAUCACCAGUUCACCCUACACAAUCCAUUUCAAGAGCACUCCCAAAUAUUUCAAACAAGGAAUGUCAUUUGAUGUUGUGGUUGAAGUUUUAAAUGCUGAUGACACUGGAGCUCCAGGUGUACCUGUGGUGGUUGAUCCUGGUGCAGUCCGAGGCAUCACUGCAGCCAAUGGCCUGGCAAAGAUUAGCAUUAAUACUGCAGCAAGCUUGCAAACCCUUACUAUUACAGCAAGGACCGAUGAUCCACUUAUUUCAUCUGCAAGACAAGCAUCAGCCAUCAUGGAAGCUCAUCCAUAUCAAAGCAACAGCAACAGUUACAUGAAAAUAAGUGUGGAUACAGCUGAGGUGGCAUUAGGAGACAACAUAACAGUAAGCAUCUUCUUAAACACGCAGGAACAUGAGCAACGGGACAUCACAUACCUGAUCUUGAGCAGAGGUCAGCUGGUGCAACAUGGCCGAUACCAGAGUCGUAACAGUGUGAUUUCCUCGGUCGUUCCCAUCACCAAAGACAUGUUACCGUCAUUCCGCAUUAUUGCCUACUACCAUCUAGAUUCAGAUGAAGUGGUCUCCGAGUCUGUUUGGGUUGAUGUAAAAGAGUCCUGCUUCGGCUCGCUGAAGCUGCUGCAAUCAAGAUCCAUGUCAUUUUAUGAACCUCAAAGGAUGUUUAGUCUGAAGAUAAAAGGAGACCCAGACGCCACAGUUGGAUUUCUUGCAGUGGACAAACGCUCUGCCACCAAUCUUCUGACACGGAAAAAGAUAUGGGACAUAGUGGAAAAAUAUGACACAGGCUGCUCACCAGGUGGAGGGAAGGAUGGCAUGAAUGUGUUCUACGAUGCAGGGCUGCUGUUCCAGUCCAAGACGUUUGGGACACCCAGCAGAGCAGAUUUAAAGUGUUGUGCCCUUAAAAGGAGGAAGCGAGGCACCGCUCCAGUGGACAUCAAAACCAGUUUGGUUAGUCAUUAUAAAGACAAAGAACAAAGGGAGUGUUGUUUGGAUGGCAUGAGAACUAUCCCGGUUUCAUACACGUGUGAAAGGCGCAGCGAGUACAUUGUGGACGGUCCAGUCUGCACUGAAGCCUUUUUGCGCUGCUGCGAAGAGAUGGAGAGAUGGCAAGCUCAUGGAAAAGAAGGAACAGAUUUACUGGCUCGCAGCAAAAGAUGGGCACAGGACGUGGGAGAUGUAGAAGAUGAUGCCUAUAUGGACCGUGAGGAAAUUAAUGUUCGCCUCGCAUCCCCAAAAAUGUGGCUUUGGUCCAAUGUCAAACUCCACCCCUGUCCUAAACAAAAUCCUAACUGUGAUACAACUAAUUAUUUCUAUAACAGUGUUUUACCAACCUCACUGACGACCUGGCAGCUCACUGGCAUCAGCCUGUCCAGAACUCAUGGAAUUUGUGUAGCUGAUCCCCUAGAGGUGAUCGUAAGGAAACAAUUUUUCAUUGAUCUCAAGCUGCCAUACUCUGCUGUCCUCGGAGAACAGUUGGAAAUCAAGACAAUUCUUCACAACAACAUCCCUGACUCUAUCACCGUUCGUGUGGAAAUCAAAGAGGACGCCAGUGUGUGCAGUGCAGCGCAUAAGAAAAAGUGGUUUGGUCAAGAGGUCAAAGUUGGUCCCCAAACUACACAAUCUGUACCAUUUAUCAUUAUUCCCAUGAAGGAAGGAGAAGUACCUAUUGAGAUUAAAGCAAAUGUGAAAGACUCAUCCUUGACUGAUGGAAUCCGAAAGAUACUGCAUGUGGCGUCUCAAGGUGUGUUGGGAAAAACUACAAGGAGUCUAAGACUAAACCCUGCUAAAAAAGGCGGUAAACAAGUGGAGUUUAUCAACAGUGAAAUUCCGCCAACAGACUUGAUGCCAAACACUCCUACGAGCACAAUGAUCUCCAUCACAGGAGGAGAGCAGUUGAGUUCCUUGUUUGAGAAUGUCAUUAGUGGGGACUUCAUGGGUGCUCUUAUAGAGCAGCCCUCAGGAUGUGGAGAGCAGAACAUUGCUGCUAUGACCCUGCCUGUCAUGGCAACCAUUUAUUUGGACAAGACCAACCAAUGGGGAACCGUUGGUGUGGAGAAGCGCAGCAUAGCUAUACAACACAUCAAAACUGGCUAUAUGAAUGAGCUUAGCUUCCGUAAAAGUGAUGGAUCUUUUGCUAUAUUUAAAAGAAAACAAAGCAGCACAUGGCUGACUGCCUAUGUCACCAAAGUGUUGGCACUGGCCUAUAACCUGAUUUUAGUGCAACAGAAUGUGAUCUGUGACGCCGUCAAGUUUCUCAUUCUAAACACACAGCAACCGGAUGGCUCGUUUAUGGAAAUUGGAGACGUAUAUGAUAAAACCAUGAUUGGAGAUGUGUUGGGUGUGGAUUCAGAUGCUUCCAUGACUGCUUUCUGUCUGAUGGCCAUACAGCAGUCACUCACGAUAUGUUCUACUACUGUUAAUAUCAUGGCAAACAGCAUACAGAGAGCAGUAACCUACCUGGAGCUGCGUCUGCCCAGCCUCACCAACCCUUAUGCUGUUGCCUUGACGUCAUGCGCGCUGGCCGAUGAAAGCAAACUGAACGAGGAAAUUCUCUUUAAUUUUGCUUCCCCAGACCAACAACACUGGCCGGUACCUAUGGGAAAAGUUUACACUCUGGAGGCCACAGCGUAUGCUCUUCUUGCACUCAUCAAGGCCAAUGCUUUUCUCAAGGCUGAACCAGUUGCAAAAUGGUUCGGCAAACAGAGGAGGGUGAGAGGUGCCUAUGAGUCAACACAGGCUACUAUAAUGGUGUACCAGGCUGUAGCAGAGUAUUGGACCAAUGUGAAAGAGCCACCAUACAAUCUAAACGUGGAUGUCAUGAUAGCAGGGAGGUCUCUGAUUGACAAGUAUAACUUAAAUAAGGAAAACUUCCAAGCUGUCAUAACAUCCAAGUUUGAAGACAUAAACAAGAAUAUAACUGUGACUGCCGUAGGAACAGGAGAAGCAAUAUUCAAUAUGGUGUCAUUGUAUUACAUGAUGCCUAAAACACAGGAGAGUGACUGUGAGAUGUUCAACCUGACCGUGCAGUUCUUCCCAGAGAAAAAUAAUGAAAGUGAAAGAAUCUACAAACUGAAAAUCGAUGUUUUGUUUAAGAAUGAGGACCGCAAUGCAUCUACAUCAGUCCUGGAAAUUGGUUUACCAACUGGCUUCACUUUCAACAAAAAUGAUCUAGACUCUUUAUCCAGUGGACAUGCCUCUCUCAUUUCACACUAUGAGACAAACAAAGCUCUUUCAGAUAAAGGCUCCCUCAUAAUUUACAUGAGAAAGGUUUCCAACAAACACCCAGAGGAGAUCUCUUUCAGGAUCCGGCAGCAGCUAAGAGUGCGUAUCUUGCAACCAGCUGCUGUGUCAGUCUAUGAAUACAACAACAGGAAACAUUGUGUGAAAUUUUAUCAUCCUGAAAGGCACAGUGGAGAACUAUUGACAUUUUGCAAAGAAAAUGAAUGUAUCUGUGCUGAAGGCUACUAUGUUUUGCCCUUACUGUAGACAACAUCUGGGAACAAUUCACAUGUUCUGUGGCUCAUGUGGCUCUAAUGUGCAAUUUUUGGCAGAGGCAGACAACAGGCCAGCAUCAGAUAUUCCCACAAAAGAAGAUCUAAUACAAAGAUAUUUUGCUCAUGGCUACAGCAAUGCAGAAAUUUUGGAUUUUUUGGCUUCAAAACACAAUGUUCAUAUGAGCCUUCGCUCCCUGAAGAGGAAGCUGAAUAGUUUGUCUUUAUCCAGGCAAAAAUACUAUUCUCCUCUUGCCACCGUUCGUGCUGCCAUACAGGAAGAGUAAAAGGGUCCAGGUCAACACUAUGGCUACCGUUCAAUGUGGCAGACACUGCGCCUAAAGUACUCUCUGACUGUUAAGAGGGAUGAUGUUAUGGCCCUGAUGAGAGAACUUGAUCCACAAGGAAUUCAACUUUGUGCAAGCAGAAAAUUUGUAAAAAGAGUUUACAGUUCUGAUGGACUCAAUUAUGUCUGGCACGUGGAUGGAUAUGAUAAGUUAAAGCUGUACGGUUUUGGAAUAAGUGGCUGCAUAGAUGGAUACUCUCGAAAAGUACUGUGGUUGAAAUGUGGAGCAAGCAACAAUGACCCAGUGGUCAUUGCCCAGAAUUAUCUGAACUGUCUGUCAGAAUGUGGAAUCAUUCCAAUGCGACUACGCACUGACUGUGGUACUGAAAAUGGCACAAUGGUGGCAAUUCAUUGUACCUUACGAUCAUCUCACACUGACGACUAUGCUGGGGCUGCCAGUCAUUUGUACGGCUCCUCAACGGCAAAUCAAAGGAUCGAAAGCUGGUGGUCAUAUUUUCGCAAACACAGGUCGCAAUUUUGGAUGGACCUUCUGAACGAUCUGAGAGAGAGAAAUCUCUUCAAUAAUAGUCGUGUGCACACAUGUCUCCUGCGAUAUGUGUUUAUGGAUGUGCUACAAAGUGACUUUGAUGAAUGCGGAGAAAAGUGGAGCACUCAUACAAUCAGACCUGUUAAACAGUCUCGUUGUCCAUCUGGUAAACCAGAGGUCAUGUACAAACUACCUCACAGGUUUGGUGGAACUGACUGUGGGUUUCCAGUUUCACUGGAGGAACUGCGGCCAUUUGAGAGUGAGCCAACACACAGUCCAUGUGGAGAUCGCCAUCUCCAGUCACACUUUGAGGAUCUACAGAGACAAAGUGGUCUAAUGCAGCCAAUGACCUGGGAGACCUGUGUGGAACUCUAUAUCACAUUGAAGAACAUGGCUGAUUUGUAACAGAACUGAAAAUACAGGUUCUGCUGCAUGGGAAGCGAGACACCCUUUGAAACAACAGCUUUGGUCUUGGGUUAAUCCCAGAUUAGGAACUGAGUCCUGUGGCGAGGAUGUCAGGGAGGGAAAGUCCUGUGUGUUUAUCUGAAAAAAAAAAAGUUAUAAAAAUGUGUUUUAUUAAACCUGUCAUUCAUAAAAGAUGAGAGAAAUGGGAACAAUGGUAUGAAAUGCUACUGUAAUAAACCUUCUGUAUCGAGGAGAUAGUCUCUCCAGAAUGCUAGUACUCUGGUUUCCUCUUGGCGUCUUGUGGUGCCUUGUUCACUGAGUUGAACCUCGAAAAGGUUAUCUAGUGUUGUGGAUGUCAGCUGUUCCACACUUGAGCACAUAAAUGCCUUGAAUAUGGAUGCAUGCUGCUCCAAAGCAUGAAUCACAUUAAGUGCUGAAAGCCCAUCCUUGAACCUACAAAAUAUUCAUAGAGAAAAAACACAAUAAAAUGCUUAGAAAAUGCUUAGCAGUAUCAGAGAAGACUGGUAACAUUUAAGAGCUAACCGUUUGGCAAAUUGGCCUAUUGCUAUAAUCCCUAUAGUCAUAUGAGUGGGUACCUUCUACUAUCAGUGCCUGUUAUGGCAAUAGGUCAAUUUGCCAAAAUGUUGAACUAUCGCUUUAACAUGUAUGCACUUACCACAGCGUCAGAGAGAUCAUUUUCCACAGAUGGCAAGUUCACAUGGACAACACUGUCAUCUUCACUUGAAGACUGUCCAGUAUAACCUUUGAAAAAAUGCAUUUAGACAGAAAUUACUAUAAUGUUUUGAGUAAUUGGCAGAAUGUAUCUUCCACAGCAAAGAUAAGAUAUAGUGAUAAGAUAAGAUAUAGAUAGAUAUAAGAUAAGUGGAAAGACUGAAAAUCAAACCAUGAAUGAAAUAUGAAAUGGAACACUUACAACUGGCUUCAAAAUCCUCUGAAGUGCAAAUGUAUAGUGUUAUCUUCUGGUAGGCCUUCCCUAUUGCCUCCUUGUACUUCCUGGCAGUGAAAGGUUCAUCCGUUCCUGGGAACUUUAUCACUUGUCUGCCAUCAGGGUACAACAAAACAUGGACAGCAUCCUGCAUGUCCUGGUUAAAAUCCAUUUGUUUUUUUAACAGCAGCAGCCAAUAGCUGCUCUGAUGACCAGUGAGGCUGAAUGUCAAGAGGGAGUGACUUCCCUCUUACAGGUUUUAGGGAGUCACCUGUCAACCUCAUGACUCCAACAUAAAUCUGCAAAAUAACAAAUAACAUAGUAAAUAAAAUGGAAAUUGAUAUAACAUGACAAAUCGAUAUGAUAGGUCACUUGACAAGGUGUGGGUCUACACUGACGGCUAAAUCUAUGCAACAACCUAUGUAAUGUUAAUUGUUCAUACCUUCACUGGUUUCUGUUUCUUUUCGCACUGAGAGGCCUGACGUUUCUUUGAAAAGAAAGACUUUCUCUCCCUUUCUUUAACUGCCCUAAACUUCAAAAAUGUCUCUACGCUUGAGUUUCCCUCUGAAAAAAAAACCACACAGGAAUUACAUAUUGAUUCAAUGCUCUUAUUGAGUUUACAUUUAAUUUUGUUCCUAUAAAAUUACUUUCUGCAGGAUGUUUUCGUACUCCUUAAAUGCCAGUUACUGAACUUGGAUAGUGAUAGAGAGAAGUGAUUUUGUAUAUAGAAGAACACGAUCUGGACCUUUCAAGCCCCCUUCUAAUCAUUUUAUGUUACAAAAUCAUGAAUCUGUUUACCUGCACUGGUGCUACGUUGUGCAGCAUCAACUUGUGCACGAGUGGCAGGUGUCUCAUCAUUGACAUGCUUUAAAAAAGCCACAUACACAGCAAAAGGCAGGACAUCUGCAAAAGGAAAAAAAGGACAGGGUUUAUGUUAUGGAAGACUGUGACAAGAGGGCUUUUUAAUGUACUAUUAUAACGGGUGCUUUAUAUCAAUAUGUGUAUUAUGUGCAGCCUUGUAUCGUCUGGUGUAACGUUAAAAUAUAAUAAAGAAACGUCUCAUAAUGUACAGCGUUGUACAGUGAUAUAAACAUCGUAUAUAAAUAUAGUCAGAUAAAAAUCACAUUAC